rnacentral:rRNA from 1 species
AUUGAACGCUGGCGGCAUGCCUUACACAUGCAAGUCGAACGGUAACAGGCCUUCGGGUGCUGACGAGUGGCGAACGGGUGAGUAAUGCAUCGGAACGUACCCAGUGGUGGGGGAUAACGCAGCGAAAGCUGUGCUAAUACCGCAUGUGAUCUGAGGAUGAAAGCGGGGGACCGAGCAGCAAUGUUUGGCCUCGCGCCUUUGGAGCGGCCGAUGUCGGAUUAGCUAGUUGGUGGGGUAAAGGCCUACCAAGGCGACGAUCCGUAGCUGGUCUGAGAGGACGACCAGCCACAGUGAGACUGAGACACGGCCCAGACUCCUGCGGGAGACAGCAGUGGAGAAUUUUGGACAAGGGGCGAAGGCCAGAUCCAGCCAUGCCGCGAGCGGGAAAAGGGCCUUCGGGUGUAAACCGCUUUUGGCAGGAAGAAAGCUGUGUCCGCUAAUACCGGGCGCUAAUGACGGUACCUGCAGAAUAAGCACCGGCUAACUACGUG